rnacentral:rRNA from 1 species
CAGCCGUAAACUAUGCGCGUUAGGUGUAUCGGUGACCACGAGUCACCGAGGUGCCGAAGGGAAACCGUGAAACGUGCCGCCUGGGAAGUACGGCCGCAAGGCUGAAACUUAAAGGAAUUGGCGGGGGAGCACAACAACGGGUGGAGCCUGCGGUUUAAUUGGACUCAACGCCGGACAACUCACCGGGAACGACAGCAAUAUGUAGGCCAGGCUGAAGACCUUGCCUGAAUCGCUGAGAGGAGGUGCAUGGCGUAGACGUCU